rnacentral:misc_RNA from 1 species
CCGAGUUUACAACUCCCAAACCCCUGUGAACAUACCAAUUGUUGCCUCGGCGGAUCAGCCCGCUCCCGGUAAACCGGGACGGCCCGCCAGAGGACCCCUAAACUCUGUUUCUAUAUGUAACUUCUGAGUAAAACCAUAAAUAAAUCA